CUCGGCCGGCCAACACAGAAACUCCAAUAACCUUCCCACUGCCAUACCGAUACCCAUAAUCGAAUGUUCUGAUAUUUGUCUGAUAAAUCGUUAGAGAAAUUUUUACAUUUAUGCAAACCAAUUGCCAACGACAUUCUAACAGCCGUUCCAGAAUAUAAGUACGAAAGGGCGGUGUCUCCCAAAUUGCCAGCGCUGACACUCAUGAAAAAAACGAUCCUAAUUGCGUCAAGAGACAAUUCGGUAAAAAUAUGAGGAACGGUACGUAAAGCAAGAUUGAAAAAUCCACGAGCUAAUGGUAAAGUUGAUGAGUUACUUUGUAGAUCAAAAUAAGAAGCUGCAGAGCCUAUUGAUAGUAUUAAAUAUAAGAGCGCUUUAUCAUGAACAGAAGCAGAAGGGUUUUUCCAGGUACGUACACUAAGGUUGAAUAAAUCCUCUGCUUUAAAUAUGGGACAAGGGAUAUGCCAUGUUUCCAAAUAUGCUAUUAACAGUCCAUUCAUUUUUUCGGUAGUUAUAUUUGAAAGAGAAAAAUCAAAAUUAUUCGCAUUGUCUUUUAAAACCAUUAACUUCAUACCAAACUUUUCAAGUCCUUUUCUUUCUUCCUCUGGAGUGAUGUCGUUUUGACCUUCAGACAGAAAAUCGUAGCCAUUUCUUUCUGCUUUUCGGAGAUAAUGAUUCAGCUGGUUAACAAAUGAAAUGUUGCUCGCUGGCCCAAAAAAUUCAAUACUUGAAGAAUCGUCAUUUAAAUUUCUAACAGAUAUGAAUUCAGGAAUAUUCAUUUGCUCAUUCGAAAAAUUAUCAAUUCUAUUUAUAUUAAUAAAAGCUGAUAUGAGGAGCUGAGUAUACUUAGAGUUAUCGUUGUUGUACUUCAGACGCUUUAUCUUACGAUAGAAUUGUCUAUAGACACAAUUUUCGUUGUAUUUUUGGCAUUCAAAGCAGACGUCUCCACCAGAACACUUAAUUGUUAACAAAAUAUAUCCUUGGCAGAUGAUCUAACGUAACUCACCUUGACUUUUCGUUUCCUACAAUUUUCACAAGCCUUGGAGAUACGAACUGGUCUUUUUGACAACACCAUUGUGACACGUUGGGAAUAAAAUGCAGAGGGCCGUUUUUAAUAGCUUUUUUUGAAAAUAUAAGAAUAAACUCACAAAAAUUUUCACUGGUUUAUAUAAUGCAUUCAUAAUUAUCUCCACUCUUGUUCAAGAUCAUGUAUUAACAAAUAGGACAUUUGAUAAGAUAAUUUAUAUCGGUACUAUUAACUUCGGCCGUCCCUUCUAAUCGAUACUAUUAUCCAUCUCACUCCAGUUCUUUUUUUCCCUUUAUAUCAACCAAUAAAUUAUGACAUCGAAAGGCAAAACGAUGCCCGUCUGCAGUUAUUUACUAUUUAUAAUUUUAUUCGCCUAAAUUUAUUUUACAAAAGUUUAGGUAGAUUCCGUUUUACUAACAUCAUAAAUUGGAAAAACUAGAAGUUAAAGUUAUUCCGACUAUUUUUUGUUUUAGUUGUAGGGUAGUUUGGGUACGUGUUGUCUAUAUUUCGUAUUAACACUUAUUCUUAGAUAAUAUCUUUACAAUUGAUUUUAAAAGGAAGAUCUUAAUUAUAAGAAAAUUGAAUUUUCUAUGAACAAUUGUUUACUAAAAAUUAGCAAGAAUUGAGAUUAUAUCUGAUUACACUAUUGAAGAUUUAACUAGGAGAAUUUUACAAAUGUUAACAUUCAAUAAAAUAGCACCUGCAUUGCUGCUUCUCACAAGAUACUGCUAACCUUAUAUCUUGUGUAACAUACCUUGACUAGAAAUUAAAAGCAAUUUCUGUAUUAAUGGGUAUUUUUUUUACCAUUAUGUGUUUUUAAUGGACCAAAAGCUUACAAAAGUUUAUAGCAUUAAAAUUCACGCUUAUAUUGUACCUAAAUCUUUAUGAGAUAAAUAGGUAUCUUGCUCCAAUUCACUUGCGAUAAUUUCAAGAGAGGUACACAUAUUUACUUAUAAAAGGAUUUUUCGUGUACUUUUUGUGUACAUUUGUUUCUCGAGGAGUACUAUUCUACUUAUUCGACACCUUUUUUACGAAAUUAUUCUAUAUCUUCUGUUUUUCU
rnacentral:lncRNA from 1 species